rnacentral:rRNA from 1 species
AUGAUAGAGCGCUUCCAGGGCGAAGAGAAGAUCUACCACAGUUUUGAUAUUGCAGAGGAUGAUCCACAUGGCUACUAUGCCCCCGAGUUCCUGAACAACCUAACUCCCAACGGGCUGCCUCCGCAUGCGCUCAAACUGAAGUUAAAUUGCCCCGUUAUACUGUUGAGAAACAUUGAUCCAGCUAAUGGGUUGUGUAACGGCACAAGGCUUGUGGUCCGGGGUUUCCAAAGGAACGCCAUCGACGCAGAAAUCGUGCUAGGACAACAUGCUGGUAGGAGGGUGUUCCUUCCUCGGAUACCUCUCUGCCCAUCCGAUGACGAUAUAUUCCCUUUCAAGUUCAAGAGGAAGCAGUUCCCUAUUAGGCUCAGUUUUGCCAUGACAAUCAACAAGGCACAAGGGCAGACCAUCCCGAUUGUCGGGGUGUACCUACCAGACCCGAUAUUCUCUCACGGUCAGCUCUACGUCGCAUUGUCUAGAGCCACUGCGAAGAGGAACAUUAAGAUUCUCGCCAUCAAGGACAACGACAAUGGUAAGGGCAAGGGCAAGGGCAAGGGCAAGGAACAAAUCAAUAAUUCAAAUAAGCGAAAAAGAUCUGAGCCCUUAUUAACGACCAUGAAGAACAUAGUCUACAAGGAAGUCCUUAGCACAUGA